rnacentral:rRNA from 1 species
AUGAACGCUGGCGGCGUGCCUAAUACAUGCAAGUCGAGCGAACAGACGAGGAGCUUGCUCCUCUGACGUUAGCGGCGGACGGGUGAGUAACACGUGGAUAACCUACCUAUAAGACUGGGAUAACUUCGGGAAACCGGAGCUAAUACCGGAUAAUAUAUUGAACCGCAUGGUUCAAUAGUGAAAGACGGUUUUGCUGUCACUUAUAGAUGGAUCCGCGCCGCAUUAGCUAGUUGGUAAGGUAACGGCUUACCAAGGCAACGAUGCGUAGCCGACCUGAGAGGGUGAUCGGCCACACUGGAACUGAGACACGGUCCAGACUCCUACGGGAGGCAGCAGUAGGGAAUCUUCCGCAAUGGGCGAAAGCCUGACGGAGCAACGCCGCGUGAGUGAAGAAGGUCUUCGGAUCGUAAAGCCCUGUUGUUAGGAAAGAACAAAUGUGUAUGAAUCCACGGACGUCUUGACGGUACCUAAAGAGAAAGCCCCGGCUAACUACGUG